UACGGAGGGUGCAAGCGUUAUCCGGAUUCACUGGGUUUAAAGGGUGCGUAGGUGGGAAUGUAAGUCAGUGGUGAAAUCUCCGUGCUUAACAUGGAAACUGCCAUUGAUACUAUCAGUCUUGAAUACCGUGGAGGUAAGCGGAAUAUGUCAUGUAGCGGUGAAAUGCUUAGAUAUGACAUAGAACACCAAUUGCGAAGGCAGCUUACUACCCGAAUAUUGACACUGAGGCACGAAAGCGUGGGGAUCAAGCAGG
rnacentral:rRNA from 1 species